rnacentral:rRNA from 1 species
UACAGAGGGUGCGAGCGUUAAUCGGAAUUACGGGGCGUAAAGCGUGCGUAGACGGUAACGUAAGUCAGAUGUGAAAGCCCCGGGCUCAACCUGGGAAUUGCAUUUGAGACUGCGUUGCUCGGGUGCGGAAGAGGGAAGCGGAAUUUCCGGUGUAGCGGUGAAAUGCGUAGAUAUCGGAAGGAACACCAGUGGCGAAAGCGGCUUCCUGGUCCGACACCGACGUUCAGGCACGAAAGCGUGGGGAGCAAACAGG